rnacentral:rRNA from 1 species
UACGGAGGGUGCAAGCGUUAUCCGGAUUCACUGGGUUUAAAGGGUGCGUAGGUGGGCAGGUAAGUCAGUGGUGAAAUCUCCGGGGCUUAACCCGGGAACUGCCGUUGAUACUAUCUGUCUUGAAUGUAGUGGAGGUGAGCGGAAUAUGUCUGUAGCGGUGAAAUGCUUAGAUAUGACAUAGAACAUCGAUUGCGAAGGCAGCUCCGCUACACUAUGAU